GUGCCAGCAGCCGCGGUAAUACGUAGGUGGCGAGCGUUAUCCGGAAUUACUGGGCGUAAAGCGCACGCAGGCGGUCUUUUAAGUUUGACGUGAAAGCUCCCGGCUUAACUGGGAGAGGUCGUUGAAUACUGGAAGACUUGAGGCAAUGAGAGGGGUGUAGAAUUCCCGGUGUAGUGGUGGAAUGCGUAGAUAUCGGGAGGAAUACCAGUGGCGAAAGCGGCACCCUAGCGUUGUACUGACGCUCAUGUGCGAAAGCGUGGGGAGCAAACGGGAUUAGAUACCCCUGUAGUCC
rnacentral:rRNA from 1 species